AAUAUCUCUGUUUGUAUCUUCGGUUCUUUUUUCUUCUUCUUCUUGCUUGUCACUUUCACUUCACUUUCACUUCCACUUUAAAUCAAAAUGGGAAAAAUAUGCAGGUUGCUACUGAAAUCAGAUCGAAA
rnacentral:ribozyme from 14 species